UACGUAGGGGGCGAGCGUUGUCCGGAUUUAUUGGGCGUAAAGAGCGUGUAGGCGGCCAGGUAGGUCUGCUGUGAAAACUCGAGGCUCAACCUCGAGACGUCGGUGGAAACUGCCUCGCUAGAGUCCGGAAGAGGAGAGUGGAAUUCCUGGUGUAGCGGUGAAAUGCGCAGAUAUCAGGAAGAACACCCGUGGCUAAGGCGGCUCUCUAGUACGGUACUGACGCUGAGACGCGAAAGCGUGGGGAGCGAACAGG
rnacentral:rRNA from 1 species